UACGGAGGGUGCAAGCGUUAUCCGGAUUCACUGGGUUUAAAGGGUGCGUAGGUGGGCAGGUAAGUCAGUGGUGAAAUCUCCGAGCUUAACUCGGAAACUGCCGUUGAUACUAUUUGUCUUGAAUAUUGUGGAGGUAAGCGGAAUAUGUCAUGUAGCGGUGAAAUGCUUAGAUAUGACAUAGAACACCAAUUGCGAAGGCAGCUCACUACGGAUCGAUUGACACUGAGGCACGAAAGCGUGGGGAUCAAACAGG
rnacentral:rRNA from 1 species